rnacentral:rRNA from 1 species
AGCGAACGCUGGCGGCAGGCCUAACACAUGCAAGUCGAACGGACCCUUCGGGGUUAGUGGCGGACGGGUGAGUAACACGUGGGAACGUGCCUUUAGGUUCGGAAUAGCCCCUGGAAACGGGUGGUAAUGCCGAAUGUGCCCUUCGGGGAAAGGAUUUAUCGCCUUUAGAGCGGCCCGCGUCUGAUUAGCUAGUUGGUGAG